AGUGAACGCUGGCGGUAGGCCUAACACAUGCAAGUCGAACGGCAGCACAGUAAGAGCUUGCUCUUACGGGUGGCGAGUGGCGGACGGGUGAGGAAUACAUCGGACUCUACUUUUUCGUGGGGGAUAACGUAGGGAAACUUACGCUAAUACCGCAUACGACCUACGGGUGAAAGCAGGGGAUCUUCGGACCUUGCUCUAUUUAAUGAGCCGAUGUCGGAUUAGCUAGUUGGCGGGGUAAAGGCCCACCAAGGCGAGGAUCCGUAGCUGGUCUGAGAGGAUGAUCAGCCACACUGGAACUGAGACACGGUCCAGACUCCUACGGGAGGCAGAAGUGGGGAAUAUUGGAAAAUGGGCGCAAGCCUGAUCAAGCCAUACCGCGUGGGUGAAGAAGGCCUUCGGGUUGUAAAGCCCUUUUGUUGGGAAAGAAAAGCAGCAGGUUAAUACCCCGAUGGUCUGACGGUACCCAAAGAAUAAGCACCGGCUAACUUCGUG
rnacentral:rRNA from 1 species